GACAGAAGGUGCGAGCGUUACUCGGAAUUACUGGGCGUAAAGCGUCCGCAGGUUUUUUUGCACGUCUGGCGUAAAAGCACGGAGCUCAACUCCGUGUACGUGCCGGAUACGACAGAAAUAGAGUCACUCAGAGGCAUCUGGAAUGCCGUGUGUAGGGGUAAAAUCCGUUGAUCCACGGUAGAACGCCAAAAGCGAAGGCAGGAUGCUGGGGGUGUACUGACACUCAUGGACGAAAGCGUGGGGAGCAAACGGG
rnacentral:rRNA from 1 species